ACUCCUACGGGAGGCAGCAGUGGGGAAUAUUGCACAAUGGGCGCAAGCCUGAUGCAGCAACGCCGCGUGAGCGAUGAAGGCCUUCGGGUCGUAAAGCUCUGUCCUCAAGGAAGAAUAAAUGACGGUACUUGAGGAGGAAGCCCCGGCUAACUACGUGCCAGCAGCCGCGGUAAUACGUAGGGGCAAGCGUUAUCCGGAAUCACUGGGCGUAAAGGGUGCGUAGGCGGUUUUUCAAGUCAGAAGUGAAAGGCUAUGGCUCAACCAUAGUAAGCUUUUGAAACUGUUAAACUUGAGUGCAGGAGAGGAAAGUGGAAUUCCUAGUGUAGAGUGAAAUUCGUAGAUAUUAGGAGGAACACCAGUGGCGAAGGCGACUUUCUGGACUGUAACUGACGCUGAGGCACGAAAGCGUGGGAGCGAACAGGAUUAGAUACCCUGGUAGCACAGAG
rnacentral:rRNA from 1 species